AUCAAUACUACUAAGCGGGCUUGGAAAACCGUUACAAUUCAUUAUAUCGGUGUUGGGGACACUAGAACCUUGUUGCUAUGGAAAAUGGACUAUGGCAGAAACCUGGCUUCAUAACUGUACACCCUAAGUGCAAAACCAAAUAACUGAAAAAUAUGAUCAAUCGACCUUAUUUUACGUUACACAAUAUUAUGUACAUUAAAAUAUAUAAUUUUACGCUAAAUAAUAUAGCCAUGUUACAAAAUUUUUAAUGACACUUUUUUUUUGUAAAAUAAAUUACUUACAGGAUUCUCCAAUUUCUUCUAUAACUGUAUUUUUAUCUUUUAAGAAUAUAUUCAUAUGUGACUUUUCUAUGUUAUCAGCAGUCUUCAAUAAGUCAUAGGACGUUUUAAGUUCUAUGAUUGAACUGUUAUUAGCUACAUUUAUUUGUUUAUUUAAUGUAUUCUGAUCUUCUAUUUUAGAAUGCUGUAAAUCCAAUUUGUUAUCCAUGUUGAAAUUACUAUUGUAAUUACAAUCUAAAUCUAUUAUUUGUUUCGUAUUAAAUUCAUUCAUUUUAUUAUUAAAUAGUCUAUUUUGAAAUGCGUUUUGUACUUCAUGUGAGAGCUUCUGACAUCUUUUUUGAAUUGAUUUUGUUUCCUCUUUAAAUUUUCUUAAAAGAUGUUCAUUAUAGUCAUUUAGUUUAUGAGUUA